rnacentral:rRNA from 1 species
GCCAGACUCCUACGGGAGGCAGCAGUGAGGAAUAUUGGUCAAUGGGCUUACGCCUGAACCAGCCAAGUCGCGUGAGGGAAGACUGCCCUAUGGGUUGUAAACCUCUUUUGUCAGGGAGCAACGCCGGCUACGUGUAGCCGGACUGAGAGUACCUGAAGAAAAAGCAUCGGCUAACUCCGUGCCAGCAGCCGCGGUAAUACGGAGGAUGCGAGCGUUAUCCGGAUUUAUUGGGUUUAAAGGGUGCGUAGGCGGAAUGCCAAGUCAGCGGUAAAAUCGCGGGGCUCAACCUCGCUCCGCCGUUGAAACUGGCAGACUUGAGUUGGCGAGAAGUACGCGGAAUGCGCGGUGUAGCGGUGAAAUGCAUAGAUAUCGCGCAGAACUCCGAUUGCGAAGGCAGCGUACCGGCGCCAGACUGACGCUGAGGCACGAAAGCGUGGGGAUCGAACAGGAUUAGAUACCCGCGUAC